GACGUAGGGCGCGAGCGUUGUCCGGAUUUAUUGGGCGUAAAGCGCGUGUAGGCGGCCAGGUAGGUCCGCUGUGAAAACCCGAGGCUCAACCUCGGGACGUCGGCGGAAACCAUCUGGCUAGAGUCCGGAAGAGGAGAGUGGAAUUCCCGGUGUAGCGGUGAAAUGCGCAGAUAUCGGGAAGAACACCCGUGGCGAAGGCGGCUCUCUGGGACGGUACUGACGCUGAGACGCGAAAGCGUGGGGAGCGAACAGG
rnacentral:rRNA from 1 species